rnacentral:rRNA from 1 species
CCUACGGGAGGCUGCAGUGGGGAAUAUUGCACAAUGGGCGAAAGCCUGAUGCAGCAACGCCGCGUGAGCGAUGAAGGCCUUCGGGUCGUAAAGCUCUGUCCUAUGGGAAGAUAAUGACGGUACCAUAGGAGGAAGCCCCGGCUAACUACGUGCCAGCAGCCGCGGUAAUACGUAGGGGGCAAGCGUUAUCCGGAAUUACUGGGCGUAAAGGGUGCGUAGGCGGUUUAUCAAGUCAGGGGUGAAAGGCUACGGCUCAACCGUAGUGAGCCUCUGAAACUGGUGAACUUGAGUGUAGGAGAGGAAAGUGGAAUUCCCAGUGUAGCGGUGAAAUGCGUAGAUAUUGGGAGGAACACCAGUGGCGAAGGCGACUUUCUGGACUACAACUGACGCUGAGGCACGAAAGCGUGGGGAGCAAACAGGAUUAGAUACCCGUGUAGUC